AUGACGACCACUGGUCCCCCUUGGACACUCCCGCCGGGCGAAUCAAGCGCACCGUCGGCGCCGUUGUCGAACAGACGACUCUCGCCGACCCGCACUACUGUGGAAGACGAGGUGAUCGCGCCGUCGUCGACUCGACCUCGAGCAACCGGCAAGAUCGGCAAGCUUCGGCUUCUUUCCGCCGGCGGCCGUCCCUGCCCCAGGUGGCGGCUGCUGCCCCAUCUGCCUCCAAGAGUUCGAGGCCGGCCGCGAGCGCGAGGGGCGGCGGCUGCCGGCGUGCUCCCACGCCUUCCAUCUCGAGUGCAUCCGUAG
rnacentral:rRNA from 1 species